UACGGAAGGCAGCAGUGGGGAAUAUUGCACAAUGGGCGCAAGCCUGAUGCAGCCAUGCCGCGUGUAUGAAAAAGGCCUUCGGGUUGUAAAGUACUUUCAGUCGUGAGGAAGGUGUUAAGGUUAAUAACCUUAGCAAUUGACGUUAGCGACAGAAGAAGCACCGGCUAACUCCGUGCCAGCAGCCGCGGUAAUACGGAGGGUGCGAGCGUUAAUCGGAAUUACUGGGCGUAAAGGGCACGCAGGCGGUUAAUUAAGUUGGAUGUGAAAUCCCCGGGCUUAACCUGGGAAUGGCAUUCAAGACUGGUUAGCUAGAGUCUUGUGAGGGGGUAGAAUUCCAUGUGUAGCGGUGAAAUGCGUAGAGAUGUGGAGGAAUACCGGUGGCGAAGGCGGCCCCUGGACAAAGACUGACGCUCAUGUGCGAAAGCGUGGGGAGCGAAACAGGGAUUAGAUACC
rnacentral:rRNA from 1 species